rnacentral:lncRNA from 1 species
UUCACCACCAGCCAGAGAUAUUUCUGACAGGUUCCUUUCUUCCUCCUACCUUGACAAAAAGUUGAUUAAAACUUCAUUAUAUUUUUAAAGAUUAUUUUCUUCAUAGGAAACAGGGAAGUUCCUACUACUGUCUGGAAUUCUAAAUGCUAUUAUUAUCACAGAGAAAAAGCCCAGCCCUUGAUGUGCCAGCACAAGGCUUCUGCUUUCACAUGGAAAGAGGUCUGAGCUGGAGGCAGCUGAAGGGCAGAGUGCUGCCAAGCACUGGCAGCGAUAGCUGGACCUGAGUGAAGAGUUGCCCUUGGGUUUAAUGUGAGUCAAAAGCCUUUACUCACCACAAGAGAGCAAAAGGCAGCUUACAACAGGAGGUUAAGUAAUUCCCCACUAUCCAUCUCUGAAGUGCAAACAGUACAGCCUUGAUGUGCCCCAGGGAAAGGAAGCAAACCAGCCUUUGAAUCUUUACCCAACCUUACUGCUCAUAUUUUGCUUUCACUGACAUCUUUUUCAGAGAGAGAUCCUCAGCCUGUAAGUGCAGCUGGAAAGCAAACUGGAAUUUCACAAACAUUGGAGUUGCUGCGUACGAGGGCCCAGCUCCGGGCUGGCCCUGCCGGGGUCGCUGCUGGCGGAGCUGCUCUGGGGCUCGCACUGCUCGGUGCCGGCGCUGCCCGCACCGGGGCUGGUUUGCAAACAAGAUUAAAGGUACUUGCCUUACUGGUAGUCGAAGCUCCCGCGCUGCGGUGUCUUGGAUUACCUUUGUUUGAAUAAUACCACUCACUUUGCUCCUAACGUGCCACCUGCACAGCAAAUUUCUAGCCUCUCCGGGUGUUCAGUUUAUUCAAAGCCUAUUUUUAAUUCUGUUAAUUGUAACCCGUGCUCCGCUACCCUGUUUGGACCUGCAGCAGCAGCCGGGGUGAGGCAGCCGCGGGGCAGGGCUGU